UACGUAGGGGGCAAGCGUUGUCCGGAUUUAUUGGGCGUAAAGAGCGUGUAGGCGGUUUGGUAGGUCCGCUGUGAAAACUCGAGGCUCAACCUCGAGACGCCGGUGGAAACCAUCAGACUAGAGUCCGGAAGAGGAGAGUGGAAUUCCUGGUGUAGCGGUGAAAUGCGCAGAUAUCAGGAAGAACACCCGUGGCUAAGGCGGCUCUCUGGAACGUUUCUGACACUGAGGCUCGAAAGCGUGGGGAGCAAACAGG
rnacentral:rRNA from 1 species